CAGUAGCCGCGGGAAUACGUAGGGUGCAAGCGUUAAUCGGAAUUACUGGGCGUAAAGCGUGCGCAGGCGGUUUGUUAAGACAGAUGUGAAAUCCCCGUGCUCAACCUGGGAACUGCAUUUGUGACUGGCAAGCUAGAGUGUGGCAGAGGGGGGUGGAAUUCCGCGUGUAGCAGUGAAAUGCGUAGAUAUGCGGAGGAACACCGAUGGCGAAGGCGGCCAUCUGGGACAACACUGACGCUGAGGCACGAAAGCGUGGGGAGCAAACAGGAUUAGAGACCCCAGUAGUCCCUGUCUCUUAUAC
rnacentral:rRNA from 1 species